AGCGAAAUUCCUUGUCAGGUAAGUUCUGACCCGCAUGAAAGGCGUAAUGAUUUGGGCACUGUCUCAACAGCCCGCCCGGCGAAAUUGUAGUACCGGUGAAGAUGCCGGUUACCCGCGACAAGACGGAAAGACCCCAUGGAGCUUUACUGUAGCCUAAUAUUGGGUUUCGAUGUUGCAUGCACAGGAUAGAUGGGACACUGGGAAGCACGGGCUUUGGCCUGUGUGGAGUGGCCGUUGGGAUACCAUCCUUGCGAUAUUGGAAUUCUAACCUGCGCCUUUGAAUCAAGGCGGGGGACAUUGUUAGGUGGGCAGUUUGACUGGGGCGGUCGCCUCCUAAAAAGUAACGGAGGCGUUCAAAGGUUCGCUCAGCUUGAACGGAAAUCAAGCAAGAGAGUGCAAACGCAGAAGCGAGCCUAACUGCGAGAC
rnacentral:rRNA from 1 species